rnacentral:Y_RNA from 1 species
GGCUGGUCCGAAGGUAUGGAGUUAUCUCACUUUAUUAUUCACAAUCAGUUACAGAUUGAACUCCUUGUUCUACUAUUAAUACUUUCCCCCUUUCUCACUACUGCACUUGACUAGUCAAAA